rnacentral:lncRNA from 1 species
CAUGAGCUCACCUACUAGGCAGUUGUCCAUCUACAGGGCAUCUUCGUGCAAACUGAAAAGGAUGCCCUUUCUUCCAAAUGGCUGCAACCUUGAAGCAAAGCACACAGCUCAGUGAGUGGAGCAGGGCUGGAUUUCAUCCCUUGCUCAGCUGGGUGCUCCAGGGAGGAGAUUAUUACAGUAGAGUAGGUAAGACAUGGUUGGGUUCUGAAGCUACUUUCAAAGUAGAGCCAACAGGGUAUGCUGAUGAAUCGGAGAUGGUGUGUGAAAAAGAAAGGAGUCAAGGAUACCUUCAAAGUUUUUGGCCUGAGAAACUAGAAGGAUGAAGUGGCCAUUCCCUGAGAUGGAAAUCUGGGGAGGAUUGAGUUUGUCUAGGGACCCCAGUCUCACAGUGGGGCAGGGGAUGGGGAGACUGGACUAUACAUGCUCUUCAAGAUUUCUUCCGUCCAGGUGGAAACAGAAGCUGUGGUAGCUGAAGAAGUUUGGUCCACCUGGCUUGUUAGGAAUGCUGCCUGACAGCCACACACGUAGGUUUAAUAAGAAAGCAGUAUUACAUUUUCUACUAGCACUCCAUCAUCAAGAUCUGACUCUUUGCAAAACCUGGGGGCCCCUGGAACUCUCCUCUCCGCGUUCUCACUGUCCACUUUGAUAGGUGGAAUAUGCGUUUCAAGUAUCCCCUGGAAUUACAUGAGGCUUGGUCCCUUGUUAAAGGAAAGCAGGUUACGAAGAUAUGGGGUUGGAGACAGGAUGCCUUCUCAGUAGCCAUGAAGUUGACCCUUGCUUGACUCAUAAAGAAAACUGGACCUGAGACUGCUUCUUAAUCUCAAAGCCCUUGGGCUUCAUUCCCUGUUUGUCUGCUCAGAUGUCCCCUCUUACACCAAAUUUCUACCAAGCUACCUGUUCCUUGGAGAUUCUGCUCGGAGGCCUGGGUCUCUCACCACAGAUGUCAAUAUGUGUUGGGCUGGUAGCCACCUCUCCUGGGUUCUGCCGCUAAACGUACUCCAGGUGGCCCAGCCUUCUCAAAUAUCACACAAAGAAGUGGAUGUCUCUAGAGUGCAUCUAGGACCAUCUUUCAGCAUCCUAUUGUUGGAAAUGAAGUUGGGGACACCUGCUGAGACACAAAAGCAGCUGAAGUCUACCCAACCAUGGAUCGUGGCAGCUCAUGCUCACAAGGGCAUUUGGGGUAGGAAUUGAGGCUCCAUUCCGUGCAUUGGGAAGGAUUCAGGUAGAGGCCCCUCACACAUGGACCUACAGGAGAAGGAUAAGAGGAGCUCCAUUUUGCCUUCAAGGCUCAAGUCUACCUGGUGGACGCCACUCUCCAAUGGGUGAUUUAAUUAAAGGGAUCACACACACCAUUUUGGUGAGGGAGAUGUGCUCUCUCCAGCAAAGAGGCAACAGAACUUCUCUGGUGCAAGGGCCGGGUCAUAUCCACCCAUACUCCUACUCAAUUACAAGAACAAACACAAUGAUCGUGCUGCCAGCAGUCAUAAUAAUAAAUAGCAAACCUGUAGUGCUAACUCUGUGCCCAACCCUUCUGAA